GAUGAAGAACGUAGCGAAAUGCGAUACGUAAUGUCAAUUGCAGAAUUCAGUGAAUCAUCGAGUCUUUGAACGCACAUUGCGCCCCCUGGUAUUCCGGGGGGCAUGCCUGUCCGAGCGUCAUUGCUGCCCUCAAGCACGGCUUGUGUGUUGGGCCUCCGCCCCCCGGCUCCCGGGGGGCGGGCCCGAAAGGCAGCGGCGGCACCGCGUCCGGUCCUCGAGCGUAUGGGGCUUCGUCACCCGCUCCGUAGGCCCGGCCGGCGCCCGCCGGCGACCCCCCUCAAUCUUUCCAGGUUGACCUCGGAUCAGGUAGGGAUACCCGCUGAACUUAAGCAUAUCAAUAAGCGGAGGA
rnacentral:misc_RNA from 1 species